CAAUUGUUCCAAUUUCUCCACCAAUCAAAUGGUCGGAUUUGUUCCGAUUACAAGUAUCAAACCUUUGGCGUCCAAUCAGAGAGACGGAUUUUGUUCCAAUUUCUGGACCGCGCCCCCGUCCUUCACUGACAUGGCAGCCGUCUUCCCCCGUCAGACAAAAUUAUUUACAAAACAUUGAAAGAAUGGCUAGUGAACACCCAGUUUUCAGGAGGGCCUCCAACGGGACGCUCCUCCUGAAAGCCUCAGAUGAGGCCCGAGCUUUGGGUCCCCCCAAGGAGACCCACCGAGCCAAGUCCCCG